AUGAGAACCCCGCAAUCUGUUCCUUGGUUGCCUGGCAACUCUCGGCUCUGUUUUCUCUCCAUUUGCAGCACCUCUUCAGCUGGUCUCCUGCGUCUAACAUCCGCCCAGUCUUGGCUUAGAGCCUGCUGGGGUUGUGGACAAGGUGGAAGCCAGAGACAGGUGCUUUCAAAUCCCAGACACAUCACAAAGCAGUUAAAUGGGUGUGGACGCAUGAUUCGGCUUCCCCCAACACCAGCCUCUCCCUGUGAAACCCACACUGUGAACACCCAGUCUCCAGGCAGGUUUUCGCACUGUUGCGAUUCAAUGAGCUCAUAUCUGUGCAGAAGCCGACACACGCUACUGUUUUCCUCCAGGUCUUCCAAGAAUCCCUCCAAGUCUUUGGACGAUCGCGUCUCCCUUCCCCGCAUAGCUCUCAUUUUUCGGAUGAAAAACCUGACGACCUCAUUCUCUUGCUCAGAAUUCUUCUAGAAGAUGCCAUGUUCUGUGUUAUGAAGUUCAAAGGCAUCGCAACCUUUCAGGCUGUAACCCUGAACCUUUUCUCCAGGCUCCCGUCUUGGCGUUAGUCCUGCAAAUCAUCGCACUGUCAGUCCCAGGCCACACCUAACUGCAGUCAUGUGAAAGACCCAGAGAGUAACACACAGCUGUGACCCAUCAGCCCACAAAACAACGGGAGGCAAUAAAAUACGGUUCUUUUUAAGACA
rnacentral:lncRNA from 1 species